AUGCAAUAAUGAAAGGUGUUAUACGUUGGCAACUUCUCGCUCUAAUCCGCCAUCUUGAACUACCUUAGGAGAAACUGUGUUGUUUCUUUGCUAAUUUCGCUGAACAUUUCCCAAAAUAUUAGAAAAAAAUUCUAAACAAGCUACAUUGAUUCAAUUUUCGUUGUUCGUUUUGUUCUUAUUCGCUGACAUUUGUUUUCUAAUUGCGUGAAAUUAGGUAAGUAUUGUAAUAAAACCGAAUUAUUUUACAAAUAAAUUAUAAUUUUGCAUUUAUUCGGUCAUUUCCUUAGUAUUUUCUGGCCGACCUAUGCUGGUAUAGUAAUUAAGAGCUAAUACACGUAAGUUACAACAUAUUAUUUUGCCUACAUUGAUGAACCAUUCCAUUUGCAGCAUUCUCUGGUGAACUUCAGCUGCGGCCGAAUUUGAUUGUAUGCAUCAUCCUGCAGAUAUUUUGAAAUUUUGUGGACGCUUCUGCAGUGCUGCGUUUGUGCUCCGCCUGUGUAUUCCUCCGCCCGUGUUUUAUAGUGUUGCGUCCCUGUUGCGCCCUUGCAUUAGUGUGUGCGUUGUGCUUUAGACACGUUGAAAUUGUUUGUAUGCUUCUGCUGUGCUGCGUUCCUGCUUCACCCGUGUAUUAGAUUGCUGCGUUCCUGUUAAUAUACACAUCGUCGUUUAAAGUACAAAACCGCGUAACUGACAUUUGCUGCUAAAAAUUGGAUUUGCUCAC